AACGAACGCUGGCGGCAGGCUUAACACAUGCAAGUCGAGCGGGCCCUUCGGGGUCAGCGGCAGACGGGUGAGUAACACGUGGGAACGUACCUUUUGGUUCGGAACAACUCCGGGAAACUGGAGCUAAUACCGGAUAAGCCCUUAGGGGGAAAGAUUUAUCGCCAAAAGAUCGGCCCGCGUCUGAUUAGCUAGUUGGUGGGGUAACGGCCCACCAAGGCGACGAUCAGUAGCUGGUCUGAGAGGAUGAUCAGCCACACUGGGACUGAGACACGGCCCAGACUCCUACGGGAAGCAGCAGUGGGGAAUAUUGGACAAUGGGCGCAAGCCUGAUCCAGCCAUGCCGCGUGAGUGAUGAAGGCCUUAGGGUUGUAAAGCUCUUUUGUCCGGGAAGAUAAUGACUGUACCGGAAGAAUAAGCCCCGGCUAACUUCGUG
rnacentral:rRNA from 1 species